GACGAACGCUGGCGGCGUGCUUAACACAUGCAAGUCGAACGGAAAGGCCCUGCUUUUGUGGGGUGCUCGAGUGGCGAACGGGUGAGUAACACGUGAGUAACCUGCCCUUGACUUUGGGAUAACUUCAGGAAACUUGGGCUAAUACCGGAUAGGAGCUCCUGCUGCAUGGUGGGGGUUGGAAAGUUUCGGCGGUUGGGGAUGGACUCGCGGCUUAUCAGCUUGUUGGUGGGGUAGUGGCUUACCAAGGCUUUGACGGGUAGCCGGCCUGAGAGGGUGACCGGCCACAUUGGGACCGAGAUACGGCCCAGACUCCUACGGGAGGCAGCAGUGGGGAAUAUUGCACAAUGGGCGGAAGCCUGAUGCAGCAACGCCGCGUGCGGGAUGACGGCCUUCGGGUUGUAAACCGCUUUCGCCUGUGACGAAGCGUGAGUGACGGUAAUGGGUAAAGAAGCACCGGCUAACUACGUG
rnacentral:rRNA from 1 species